rnacentral:pre_miRNA from 1 species
AUUAUACUCCCUCCGUCCGAAAAUACUUGUCAUCAAAAUGGACAAAAAGGGAUGUAUCUAAAACUAAAAUACAUCUAGAUACAUCCCUUUUAUCCAUUUUUAUGACAAGUAUUUCCAGACGGAGGGAGUAUAUA